UACGGCUCAGUAACACGUAGAUAAUCUACCCUCGAGUCAAGGAUAAGCACGGGAAACUGUGUCUAACACUUGAUAGGGGAUUCGACCUGGAAAGGUAUUUCCCUGAAACUCGUGCUCAAGGAUGAGUCUGCGGAUGAUUAGCUUGUUGGUGGGGUAACUGCCUACCAAGGCAAUGAUCAUUACGGGCUCUUAGCGGAGUUGCCCGGAGAAGGAAUCUGAGACACUAUUCCUAGCUCUACGGAGUGCAGCAGUCGCGGAACUUUUACAAUGCACGCAAGUGUGAUAAAGCGAACCAAAGUGUUUUUCGUUUAGAAAAACUUUUUCUUAGUGUAAAAAUCUAGGAGAAUAAGGACUGGGAAAGACUGGUGCCAGCCGCCGCGGUAAUACCAGCAGUUCAAGUUGCAUCCCUUUUUAUUGGGUCUAAAACAUCCGUAGCUCGCCGUUUAAGUCUUUCGUGAAAUCCUGCGUCUCAAGCGCAGGGCUUGCAGAGGAUACUGAGCGGCUAGAGAUCGGUUGACGUAAGGAGUACGCCGGAGGUAAUGGUUAAAUAUGUUAAUCUUCGGUGGACUAACAAUGAGCGAAGGCACCUUACGAGGACGAAUCUGACAGUGAGGGAUGAAGGCCAGGGGCGCAAAACGGUUUAGAUACCCGUGUAGUCCUGGCAGUAAACACUGUUCACUAAACGUCGGGCCCUCUUCGGGAGGAUUCGGUGCUGAAGCGAAGGCGAAGAGUGAACUACCUGGGAAGUAUAGUCGCAAGAUCGAAACUUAAAGGAAUUGGCGGA
rnacentral:rRNA from 1 species